AUUGUGACCCGCCUCUCUCCUGGGGAACCUGGGGGCCUACAGUCCCCCUGGUACUUCCAGGCCCCCGUGGGCUGCGGGCAGAGUCCCAGGAGCCAAAGGACCUCUCAGGAAAGGCUGGAAGUUAGCCUUGCAGUCAGCCAGCUUCUGCCUGUUGCUGUCAUUUUCUUUCUGGAGCACCUGGAGCACUCUCUCAGUGGCUGUGGUGGCCAUGCAGCCCUCCCGGGCCAUUUAUCAUGGAAGAACAUCUCCCUCUGAAAGCUGGAACUGUCUUUCUUCAAUUCACGGUAGAGACGGGUUUUCGCCAUGUUGGCCCAGAUGGCCUUGAUCUCCUGACCUCGUGAUCUGCCUGCCUCGGCCUCCCAAAGUGCUGGGAUUAUAGGCAUGAGCCACUGCACCCGGACUUCAGAGACUCUUAAACCAAAGGCAUAAGUUCUCAGUCAAAUCAA
rnacentral:lncRNA from 1 species